rnacentral:rRNA from 1 species
UGGGGAAUAUUGCACAAUGGGCGCAAGCCUGAUGCAGCCAUGCCGCGUGUAUGAAGAAGGCCUUCGGGUUGUAAAGUACUUUCAGCGAGGAGGAAGGCGUUGUGGUUAAUAACCGCAACGAUUGACGUUACUCGCAGAAGAAGCACCGGCUAACUCCGUGCCAGCAGCCGCGGUAAUACGGAGGGUGCAAGCGUUAAUCGGAAUUACUGGGCGUAAAGCGCACGCAGGCGGUCUGUCAAGUCGGAUGUGAAAUCCCCGGGCUCAACCUGGGAACUGCAGCCGAAACUGGCAGGCUAGAGUCUUGUAGAGGGGGGUAGAAUUCCAGGUGUAGCGGUGAAAUGCGUAGAGAUCUGGAGGAAUACCGGUGGAGAAGGCGGCCCCCUGGACAAAGACUGACGCUCAGGUGCGAAAGCGUGGGGAGCAAACA